GCCUGAGGUUGCUGGGGGACUACCAGAAUUCAACUCGCAUGUCUUUUGUUGAGUUUGUAAUGGCUGCAAGUGCAAUUGCUGCUCCCAACUGUAGCGGUGUGGUUCUGGGAUCAUUGCCUAUAAGGGUAAGCCCAUCAAAGACCCCAGUUCGGCCACGCGCUCCCCGUCUUCCCAUCAACUGAAUCGUCUUGAACCGGGCUGAUUUUUGUACCAGACUAAAUAUAUAUGUUUAGAGUCCAUACACAACACCAUGUAAAGAGGCUUCCCAUGUUAAUUGGUCUGCCAGUUUAUAUAUGAUAUAGAUUGUCCGAUGUUACGCUUGGGAUCAUUGUAAACCCUAGAGUAUCUUUUGUUUAUCCUUGGAACUUAUGAUACAUAGAGUUGGAUGGAACUUUGAGGCUUUGAAAUGAUGUUAUGCAUUAUCACUCGCUAAUUUGGACAAGGUUUGUCC